CAGCAGCCGCGGUAAUACGUAGGUGGCAAGCGUUGUCCGGAAUUAUUGGGCGUAAAGGGCUCGCAGGCGGUUUCUUAAGUCUGAUGUGAAAGCCCCCGGCUCAACCGGGGAGGGCCAUUGGAAACUGGGAAACUUGAGUGCAGAAGAGGAGAGUGGAAUUCCACGUGUAGCGGUGAAAUGCGUAGAGAUGUGGAGGAACACCAGUGGCGAAGGCGACUCUCUGGACUGUAACUGACGCUGAGGAGCGAAAGCGUGGGGAGCGAACAGGAUUAGAUACCCCUGUAGUCCCUGUCUCUUAUAC
rnacentral:rRNA from 1 species